GGCUUGCUAGAACAGCGUCUCAGCUGAGACUGGGUGAAAGGAAGCACUGCCUUCUUUCCCCCAGUCUCAGCUGAGACGCUGUUUCUAGCAAGUC
rnacentral:pre_miRNA from 1 species